AAUAUUCGACAAUGGGGGAAACCCUGAUCCAGCAAUGCCGCGAGGGUGAAGAAGGCCUGCGGGUUGUAACGCUCUUUCGUCCGGGAACAAAAGCGCUGGGCUAAUACUCUGGUGUCUCGACGUUACCGGAAGAAGAAGCACCUGCUAACUCCGUGCCAGUAGCCGCGGUAAUACGGAGGGUGCGAGCGUUAAUCGGAAUUACUGGGCGUAAAGCGGGGGUAGGCGGUUGGGGAAUUCGGGUGUGAAAGCCCCGGGCUUAACCUGGGAAUUGCAUUCGAUACUCCAUGGCUAGAGUCUGGGAGAGGGAAGGGGAAUUCCGGGUGUAGCGGUGAAAUGCGUAGAUAUCCGGAGGAACACCGGUGGCGAAGGCGCCUUCCUGGCCUAAGACUGACGCUGAGGUGCGAAAGCGUGGGGAGCAAACAGG
rnacentral:rRNA from 1 species